rnacentral:rRNA from 1 species
CAGAGGGGGCAAGCGUUGUUCGGAAUUACUGGGCGUAAAGGGCGCGUAGGCGGCCUGUUAAGUCGAACGUGAAAUCCCCGGGCUCAACCCGGGAACUGCGUCCGAUACUGGCAGGCUUGAAUCCGGGAGAGGGAUGCGGAAUUCCAGGUGUAGCGGUGAAAUGCGUAGAUAUCUGGAGGAACACCGGUGGCGAAGGCGGCAUCCUGGACCGGCAUUGACGCUGAGGCGCGAAAGCCAGGGGAGCAAACGGGAUUAGAUACCCCGGUAGUCCUGGCCCUAAACGAUGAAUGCUUGGGGUGGCGGGUAUCGAUCCCUGCCGUGCCGAAGCUAACGCAUUAAGCAUUCCGCCUGGGGAGUACGGUCGCAAGGCUG